UGGUGGAACGGAAUAAAGGGCAGGGCAGGUGGGAGCUCUCACGACAGACUCUGAGGCAGGCCGCUUGCAGGACAAAGCUGGUUCACCUUCAUCCUGUUCUACUCUGCAUGGCUGCCAUGGAGGGAACGUACACAGAUUUACCCUUGAUAAAGGCCAUGGUCCUCCUCCAAGGUUGUGGUGAGACUGAGUGAAAGCAACAGGCAUGCUGGGAACACCAGGUGAGCCCUGCAGACACCAGGUGAGCCCUGCAGACACCAGGUGAGCCCUGCAGACACCAGGUGAGCCCUGCGGACACCAGGUGAGCACUGCGGACACUAGGUGAGCCCUGCAGACACCAGGUGAGCACUGCGGACACCAGGUGAGCACUGCGGACACCAGGUGAGCACUGCAGACACCAGGUGAGCCCUGCAGACACCAGGUGAGCACUGCGGACACCAGGUGAGCACUGCAGACACCAGGUGAGCACUGCAGACACCAGGUGAGCAUUACAGACACCAGGUGAGCACUAUAGAUACCAGGUGAGCACUGCACAUUGCAGACACCAGGUGAGCACUGUAGACACCAGGUGAGCCCUGCGGACACCAGGUGAGCACUGCGGACACUAGGUGAGCCCUGCGGACACCAGGUGAGCCCUGCGGACACCAGGUGAGCCCUGCAGACACCAGGUGAGCCCUGCGGACACCAGGUGAGCCCUGCGGACACCAGGUGAGCCCUGCGGACACCAGGUGAGCACUGCGGACACUAGGUGAGCACUGCGGACACUAGGUGAGCACUGUGGACACUAGGUGAGCACUAUAGACACCAGGUGAGCCCUGCAGACACCAGGUGAGCCCUGCAGACACCAGGUGAGCCCUGCAGACACCAGGUGAGCCCUGCAGACACCAGGUGAGCCCUGCAGACACCAGGUGAGCACUGCGGACACUAGGUGAGCACUGCAGACAUCAGGUGAGCCCUGCAGACACCAGGUGAGCCCUGCAGACACCAGGUGAGCGCUGCGGACACCAGGUGAGCACUGCGGACACCAGGUGAGCCCUGCAGACACCAGGUGAGCGCUGCGGACACCAGGUGAGCACUGCGGACACCAGGUGAGCACUGCGGACACUAGGUGCGCACCGCGGACACUAGGUGAGCACUAUAGACACUAGGUGAGCACUAUAGACACUAGGUGAGCACUGUGGACACUAGGUGAGCACUGCAGACACCAGGUGAGCCCUGCAGACACCAGGUGAGCCCUGCAGACACCAGGUGAGCCCUGCAGACACCAGGUGAGCCCUGCAGACACCAAGUGAGCACUGUGGACACUAGGUGAGCACUGCGGACACUAGUGAGCACUAUAGACACUAGGUGAGCACUGCAGACACCAGGUGAGCCCUGCAGACACCAGGUGAGCCCUGCAGACACCAGGUGAGCCCUGCAGACACCAGGUGAGCACUGUGGACACUAGGUGAGCACUGAGGACACUAGGUGAGCACUGUGGACACUAGGUGAGCACUGCAGACACCAGGUGAGCCCUGCGGACACCAGGUGAGCACUGAGGACACUAGGUGAGCACUGCAGACACCAGGUGAGCACUGCAGACACCAGGUGAGCCCUGCAGACACCAGGUGAUCACUGAGGACACUAGGUGAGCACUGCGGACACUAGGUGAGCACUAUAGACACUAGGUGAGCACUAUAGACACUAGGUGAGCACUAUAGACACUAGGUGAGCACUGUGGACACUAGGUGAGAACUAUGGACACUAGGUGAGCACUGCGGACACUAGGUGAGCACUGCGGACACUAGGUGAGCACUAUAGACACUAGGUGAGCACUAUAGACACUAGGUGAGCACUGUGGAUAGUAUGUGAGCACUAUAGACACUAGGUGAGCACUGGGGACACUAGGUGAGCACUGCGGACACUAGGUGAGCACUGGGGACACUAGGUGAGCACAGCAAACCCUACUAACUUGGUGAAAUUAUGUAAGGCUAGGCAUCCUUUGUGCACUAUGAUUUUUUUCUUUUUUUUUUU
rnacentral:sRNA from 1 species